CGGUAGGCUUAACACAUGCAAGUCGAGCGAGAAAGUAUCUUCGGAUAUGAGUAGAGCGGCGGACGGGUGAGUAACGCGUAGGAAUCUACCUAGUAGAAGGGGAUAGCCCGGGGAAACUCGGAUUAAUACCGUAUACCUCCUAAGGGAGAAAGAGGGCCUCUCUUGAUGCUCUCGCUAUUAGAUGAGCCUGCGUAAGAUUAGCUUGUUGGUAAGGUAAUGGCUUACCAAGGCUACGAUCUUUAGCUGGUCUGAGAGGACGAUCAGCCACAUUGGGACUGAGACACGGCCCAGACUCCUACGGGAGGCAGCAGUGGGGAAUAUUGGACAAUGGGCGCAAGCCUGAUCCAGCCAUACCGCGUGUGUGAAGAAGGCCUUCGGGUUGUAAAGCACUUUAAGCAGGGAGAAAAAGUUAUAAGUUAAUACCUUAUAACCGUGAUGUUACCUGCAGAAUAAGCACCGGC
rnacentral:rRNA from 1 species